rnacentral:lncRNA from 1 species
UCCCUCUGUUUCUUUAAACGUUUCCCGUUUCAUAUGUCGGGACUGUUCAUGACAUGAGACAAAUUACUUAUUUACGUCUAAUCUAUAAGACGAAAUAUAGUCAUGAGUGAUCUUAUUGGAUUCGUAUUUACACGUACUUUAAUACGGUGAAAUUUUUAUAUUUAAUACUAAUACGAAAUUAAAGAUAUUAAUGAUAGAAAGUGUGUGUUGGCAAACGUGAUAAAAGCACACGGGAAAAGUAUUU